rnacentral:tRNA from 1 species
GUGGUUAGCUCAGUUGGUAGAGCGUCUGCCUUACAAGCAGAGGGUCAGCGGUUCGAAUCCGUUACC